rnacentral:lncRNA from 1 species
AAGCACAUACUUGGAGAACAUGUAGAAUGUUGCAUGUCACUUAUUGUGCUAAAUUUUAUAUAGAAGAUAAAUUCAUAUGGAUGAGAUUAGAUUUAAUUGAAUUCAUUUGAUAACAUGUUCAUUUUUAUUCAUAUAGAGUUAAAGAUGGCUCCUUUACAAUUUUGGCAUUGCCCUCUUUAAACAUCGACCAUUUUCGAAAGCCUCGUAAUCAUAUUCUUAC